rnacentral:rRNA from 1 species
AGAGUUUGAUCAUGGCUCAGGAUGAACGCUGGCGGCGUGCCUAAUACAUGCAAGUCGAACGCAUUACUCGGUAGUGAGUGGCGAACGGGUGAGUAACACGUAGGUAACUUACCUCUAAGACGAGGAUAACGACUGGAAACGGUCGCUAAAACUGGAUAGGAUCAUUUGAGGCAUCUCGAAUGAUUUAAAGGGGCUUUCAAGCCACACUUAGAGAAAGGCCUGCGGCGCAUUAGCUAGUUGGUGGGGUAGAGGCCUACCAAGGCGAUGAUGCGUAGCCGGACUGAGAGGUCGAACGGCCACAUUGGGACUGAGAUACGGUCCAGACUCCUACGGGAGGCAGCAGUGGGGAAUAUUGGGCAAUGGGGGAAACCCUGAACCCCAGCGACGCCGCGUGGGUGAAGAAAUCCUUCGGGAUGUAAAGCCCUGUUGUAUGGGAAGAGCGGAAGACGGUACCAUACGAGGAAGCCCCGGCAAACUACGUGCCAGCAGCAGC